GACGAACGCUGGCGGCGUGCCUAAUACAUGCAAGUAGAACGCUGAAGGAGGAGCUUGCUUCUCUGGAUGAGUUGCGAACGGGUGAGUAACGCGUAGGUAACCUGCCUGGUAGCGGGGGAUAACUAUUGGAAACGAUAGCUAAUACCGCAUAAUAGCAGUUGUCGCAUGAUAACUGUUUGAAAGGUGCAAUUGCACCACUACCAGAUGGACCUGCGUUGUAUUAGCUAGUUGGUGGGGUAACGGCUCACCAAGGCGACGAUACAUAGCCGACCUGAGAGGGUGAUCGGCCACACUGGGACUGAGACACGGCCCAGACUCCUACGGGAGGCAGCAGUAGGGAAUCUUCGGCAAUGGACGGAAGUCUGACCGAGCAACGCCGCGUGAGUGAAGAAGGUUUUCGGAUCGUAAAGCUCUGUUGUAAGAGAAGAACGAGUGUGAGAGUGGAAAGUUCACACUGUGACGGUAUCUUACCAGAAAGGGACGGCUAACUACGUG
rnacentral:rRNA from 1 species